CCUACGGGUGGCAGCAGUGGGGAAUAUUGCACAAUGGGGGAAACCCUGAUGCAGCGACGCCGCGUGAAGGAAGAAGUAUUUCGGUAUGUAAACUUCUAUCAGCAGGGAAGAAAAUGACGGUACCUGACUAAGAAGCCCCGGGUAACUACGUGCCAGCAGCCGCGGUCAUUCGUAGGGGGCAAGCGUUAUCCAGAUUUACGGGGGGUAAAGGGAGCGUAGGCGGUUUAGCAAGUAAGAAGUUAAAGCCUGGGGCUCAACUCCGGGACUGCUUUUGAAACUGUUGAACUAGAUUGCAGGAGAGGUAAGUGGAAUGCCUGGUGUAGCGGUGAAAUGCGUAGAUAUUAGGAGGAACACCAGUGGCGAAGGCGGCUUACUGGACUGUAAAUGACGCUGAGGCUCGAAAGCGUGGGGAGCGAACAGGAUUAGAUACCCUUGUAGUC
rnacentral:rRNA from 1 species